UGCAAGUCGUAACGGUGGCAGGCACUUCGGACGCUGACGAGUGGCGAACGGGUGAGUAAUACAUCGGAACGUGCCCAGUCGUGGGGGAUAACUACUCGAAAGAGUAGCUAAUACCGCAUACGAUCUGAGGAUGAAAGCGGGGGACCUUCGGGCCUCGCGCGAUUGGAGCGGCCGAUGGCAGAUUAGGUAGUUGGUGGGAUAAAAGCUUACCAAGCCGACGAUCUGUAGCUGGUCUGAGAGGACGACCAGCCACACUGGGACUGAGACACGGCCCAGACUCCUACGGGAGGCAGCAGUGGGGAAUUUUGGACAAUGGGCGAAAGCCUGAUCCAGCAAUGCCGCGUGCAGGAUGAAGGCCUUCGGGUUGUAAACUGCUUUUGUACGGAACGAAAAAGCUCCUUCUAAUACAGGGGGCCCAUGACGGUACCGUAAGAAUAAGCACCGGCUAACUACGUGCCAGCAGCCGCGGUAAUACGUAGGGUGCGAGCGUUAAUCGGAAUUACUGGGCGUAAAGCGUGCGCAGGCGGUUAUGUAAGACAGAUGUGAAAUCCCCGGGCUCAACCUGGGAACUGCAUUUGUGACUGCAUGGCUAGAGUACGGUAGAAGGGGGGAUGGAAUUCCGCGUGUAGCAGUGAAAUGCGUAGAUAUGCGGAGGAACACCGAUGGCGAAGGCAAUCCCCUGGACCUGUACUGACGCUCAUGCACGAAAGCGUG
rnacentral:rRNA from 1 species